rnacentral:rRNA from 2 species
UUAAGCGACUAAGCGUACACGGUGGAUGCCCUGGCAGUCAGAGGCGAUGAAGGACGUGCUAAUCUGCGAAAAGCGUCGGUAAGGUGAUAUGAACCGUUAUAACCGGCGAUGUCCGAAUGGGGAAACCCAGUGCAAUUCGUUGCACUAUCGUUAACUGAAUACAUAGGUUAACGAGGCGAACCGGGGGAACUGAAACAUCUAAGUACCCCGAGGAAAAGAAAUCAACCGAGAUUCCCCCAGUAGCGGCGAGCGAACGGGGAGCAGCCCAGAGUCUGAAUCAGCUUGUGUGUUAGUGGAACGGUCUGGAAAGUCCGACGGUACAGGGUGAUAGUCCCGUACACCAAAAUGCACAGGUUGUGAACUCGAAGAGUAGGGCGGGACACGUGGUAUCCUGUCUGAAUAUGGGGGGACCAUCCUCCAAGGCUAAAUACUCCUGACUGACCGAUAGUGAACCAGUACCGUGAGGGAAAGGCGAAAAGAACCCCGGCGAGGGGAGUGAAAAAGAACCUGAAACCGUGUACGUACAAGCAGUGGGAGCACCUUCGGGUGUGACUGCGUACCUUUUGUAUAAUGGGUCAGCGACUUAUAUUCUGUAGCAAGGUUAACCGUAUAGGGGAGCCGCAGGGAAACCGAGUCUUAACUGGGCGUUAAGUUGCAGGGUAUAGACCCGAAACCCGGUGAUCUAGCCAUGGGCAGGUUGAAGGUUGGGUAACACUAACUGGAGGACCGAACCGACUAAUGUUGAAAAAUUAGCGGAUGACUUGUGGCUGGGGGUGAAAGGCCAAUCAAACCGGGAGAUAGCUGGUUCUCCCCGAAAGCUAUUUAGGUAGCGCCUCGUGAACUCAUCUUCGGGGGUAGAGCACUGUUUCGGCUAGGGGGUCAUCCCGACUUACCAACCCGAUGCAAACUACGAAUACCGAAGAAUGUUAUCACGGGAGACACACGGCGGGUGCUAACGUCCGUCGUGAAGAGGGAAACAACCCAGACCGCCAGCUAAGGUCCCAAAGUCAUGGUUAAGUGGGAAACGAUGUGGGAAGGCACAGACAGCCAGGAUGUUGGCUUAGAAGCAGCCAUCAUUUAAAGAAAGCGUAAUAGCUCACUGGUCGAGUCGGCCUGCGCGGAAGAUGUAACGGGGCUAAACCAUGCACCGAAGCUGCGGCAGCGACACUAUGUGUUGUUGGGUAGGGGAGCGUUCUGUAAGCCUGCGAAGGUGUGCUGUGAGGCAUGCUGGAGGUAUCAGAAGUGCGAAUGCUGACAUAAGUAACGAUAAAGCGGGUGAAAAGCCCGCUCGCCGGAAGACCAAGGGUUCCUGUCCAACGUUAAUCGGGGCAGGGUGAGUCGACCCCUAAGGCGAGGCCGAAAGGCGUAGUCGAUGGGAAACAGGUUAAUAUUCCUGUACUUGGUGUUACUGCGAAGGGGGGACGGAGAAGGCUAUGUUAGCCGGGCGACGGUUGUCCCGGUUUAAGCAUGUAGGCUGGUUAUCCAGGCAAAUCCGGAUAAUCAAGGCUGAGGUGUGAUGACGAGGCACUACGGUGCUGAAGUAACAAAUGCCCUGCUUCCAGGAAAAGCCUCUAAGCAUCAGGUAACAUCAAAUCGUACCCCAAACCGACACAGGUGGUCAGGUAGAGAAUACCAAGGCGCUUGAGAGAACUCGGGUGAAGGAACUAGGCAAAAUGGUGCCGUAACUUCGGGAGAAGGCACGCUGGUGUGUAGGUGAAGUCCCUGCGGAUGGAGCUGAGACCAGUCGAAGAUACCAGCUGGCUGCAACUGUUUAUUAAAAACACAGCACUGUGCAAACACGAAAGUGGACGUAUACGGUGUGACGCCUGCCCGGUGCCGGAAGGUUAAUUGAUGGGGUUAUCCGUAAGGAGAAGCUCUUGAUCGAAGCCCCGGUAAACGGCGGCCGUAACUAUAACGGUCCUAAGGUAGCGAAAUUCCUUGUCGGGUAAGUUCCGACCUGCACGAAUGGCGUAAUGAUGGCCAGGCUGUCUCCACCCGAGACUCAGUGAAAUUGAACUCGCUGUGAAGAUGCAGUGUACCCGCGGCAAGACGGAAAGACCCCGUGAACCUUUACUAUAGCUUGACACUGAACAUUGAGCCUUGAUGUGUAGGAUAGGUGGGAGGCUUUGAAGCGUGGACGCCAGUCUGCGUGGAGCCAACCUUGAAAUACCACCCUUUAAUGUUUGAUGUUCUAACGUUGGCCCCUGACCGGGGUUGCGGACAGUGUCUGGUGGGUAGUUUGACUGGGGCGGUCUCCUCCCAAAGCGUAACGGAGGAGCACGAAGGUUAGCUAAUCCUGGUCGGACAUCAGGAGGUUAGUGCAAUGGCAUAAGCUAGCUUGACUGCGAGCGUGACGGCGCGAGCAGGUGCGAAAGCAGGUCAUAGUGAUCCGGUGGUUCUGAAUGGAAGGGCCAUCGCUCAACGGAUAAAAGGUACUCCGGGGAUAACAGGCUGAUACCGCCCAAGAGUUCAUAUCGACGGCGGUGUUUGGCACCUCGAUGUCGGCUCAUCACAUCCUGGGGCUGAAGUAGGUCCCAAGGGUAUGGCUGUUCGCCAUUUAAAGUGGUACGCGAGCUGGGUUUAGAACGUCGUGAGACAGUUCGGUCCCUAUCUGCCGUGGGCGCUGGAGAAUUGAGGGGGGCUGCUCCUAGUACGAGAGGACCGGAGUGGACGCAUCACUGGUGUUCGGGUUGUCAUGCCAAUGGCACUGCCCGGUAGCUAAAUGCGGAAGAGAUAAGUGCUGAAAGCAUCUAAGCACGAAACUUGCCCCGAGAUGAGUUCUCCCUGAGACU